rfam:Triticum urartu cultivar G1812 contig400653, whole genome shotgun sequence.
AUACUACUCCCUUCGUCCGGAAAUACUUAGCGUAGAAAUGGUUGUAUCUAGAUUUAUUUUAGUUAUAGAUACAUCCGUUUUAUCCAUUUAUAGAACAACUAUUUUGGGACGGAGGGAAUAGUUU